ACAUGUCCAGUAGUGGGGGAUAGCCCGGCGAAAGCCGGAUUAAUACCGCAUACGAUCUUUGGAUGAAAGCGGGGGAUCGCAAGACCUCGCGCUAUUGGGGUGGCCGAUGGCGGAUUAGCUAGUUGGUGGGGUAAAGGCCCACCAAGGCGACGAUCCGUAGCUGGUCUGAGAGGACGACCAGCCACACUGGGACUGAGACACGGCCCAGACUCCUACGGGAGGCAGCAGUGGGGAAUUUUGGACAAUGGGCGAAAGCCUGAUCCAGCAAUGCCGCGUGUGUGAAGAAGGCCUUCGGGUUGUAAAGCACUUUUGUCCGGAAAGAAAUCCUGGUGGCUAAUAUCCGCCGGGGAUGACGGUACCGGAAGAAUAAGCACCGGCUAACUACGUGCCAGCAGCCGCGGUAAUACGUAGGGUGCGAGCGUUAAUCGGAAUUACUGGGCGUAAAGCGUGCGCAGGCGGUGAUGUAAGACCGAUGUGAAAUCCCCGGGCUUAACCUGGGAACUGCAUUGGUGACUGCAUCGCUGGAGUAUGGCAGAGGGGGGUAGAAUUCCACGUGUAGCAGUGAAAUGCGUAGAGAUGUGGAGGAAUACCGAUGGCGAAGGCAGCCCCCUGGGCCAAUACUGACGCUCAUGCACGAAAGCGUGGGGAGCAAACAGGAUUA
rnacentral:rRNA from 1 species